rnacentral:rRNA from 1 species
GACGAACGCUGGCGGCGUGCUUAACACAUACAAGUCGAACGAUGAAACCGGAGCUUGCUCCGGUGGAUUAGUGGCGAACGGGUGAGUAACACGUGAGUAACCUGCCCUUGACUCUGGGAUAACUGCGGGAAACUGUAGCUAAUACCGGAUACGACCCUCGGAGGCAUCUCCUGGGGGUGGAAAGAAUUUCGGUCAAGGAUGGACUCGCGGCCUAUCAGCUAGUUGGUGAGGUAACGGCUCACCAAGGCGACGACGGGUAGCCGGCCUGAGAGGGUGACCGGCCACACUGGGACUGGGACACGGCCCAGACUCCUACGGGAGGCAGCAGUGGGGAAUAUUGCACAAUGGGCGCAAGCCUGAUGCAGCAACGCCGCGUGAGGGAUGACGGCCUUCGGGUUGUAAACCUCUUUUAGCAGGGAAGAAGCGAAAGUGACGGUACCGUAAGAAUAAGCACCGGCUAACUACGUGCCAGCCGCCGCAGUAA